GGAAACCAUGCUGGUGCUGUGAAUACAGAAGGACAACUUCUAGCAGGAUCAGCUCUGGCUCCUGAGACAAUGCAGUGCCUGAGGAAAGUGCUCAAAGAUUGAUGGGGACAUUUCAGAAGGAUGCAGUAGCCAGCUCCAAGAGGCUCCUGCUGGCCCAGGGGAGGACAAUUUGAGUGUCAAAAUAAAAAAACGACAGAGAUGGAUGACAACCUAUGGAACAACACGGGAGUCCGUGAUGCCACACCCAUGUGCAUAAAUAGACAAGUGAACUGACAGUGCACGAAGAACAGGUUUCCAAGGACCUCCCCACAAACCAGGGAAUGACUGCGAUGGAAAAAAUGACUUUACAGUGGAGGGAGCUUGGCAGACACCACCUCCUCCGUCAAAUGGCAAAAACAAUCAUUCACAUAAUGGUUCCAAGUGAAAUCAGGAGCAGCCUGGUAGGUCUAAAUGAACACAACGCAGCCACUUCUGUGAUGUGCCUGCCAGAGACUCAGACAGAGCCUGAGUCCAAUCGAGAGGAAACCUUAGACAAACCCAAAGUGAGGACAUUCCACAAAACAACUGACGUGUAAGUUGACGAGCAAGGUCACGCAGGUCAAGGCUGAAAAGCAAGUUCACAUUGAGCCAACUGCAAUGUGUGAUCCUCGGUUGGAUCCUUUGCUAUAAAGAACAUUAUUGGAAUGAA